UUCCUGGUGGUCCAGGGGUUAGGACUCCGCGCUUUUACUGCUGAGGGCCCAGGUUCAAACCCUGGUUGGGGAA